CACAAACCCAUAAUUGAAGACAAUUUUUCUAUUUUCACUGUUAUGAUAAUUAAAGUAAACUGCAAGCAAAUGCUUAGAUGACACAUUUAACCCUCACCUAUUUCUUCUUCUUCUUCUUCUUCUUAUGAUGAAAUAUUUUAUUGACAUAAAAGUGAGCCAAAGUAACUUCCAUUUCUGCCUUUACUCAAAUGCAAAUGAGCUGUGUCUGGAAUGUGCUUUGCAGUUUACAGAUCUGCAGAACCAGCCCAGCUGUGCUGAAGCUCCAACAGGCUCAGUGGCAAGAGAAGGUGUUCUGAAGAAUGUAACAGCUCUCACGGGCAUCACUUCAAAGAGACCCAACACUGACUGUGGAAAUUGUACACUACUUCAAGAGAAAUUACACAAAUGUCAUGAAGAACUGGGGGAAUUGCUUGAAGAACUUGGUCGUCUACCAGCAGAUUGUAAAAAGUGUAUCCUGUUUCAACAAAAAUUGGACUCGUAUUUAGAGAAGGUUAAGAGAUUACAAACAGAUCAUCAUUAAGGAACAGGACCUUGGCUGGCCUACACUCAAUGUAUUUUGUGGAUUUAAAAUGUAAUUAUAAUUAAUAAAAGAGUUUAUUAUUUCCCCUAUAUUGUCUCUUUGAACAGAAUAGGUUAACAUCAAAUUGGUUUUAGGUUAGAUUUCAUCCUUGAUGGAACACGUGGCAACAUCUUUUUGUAUUUUGUGAACUUAAUUGAGUCAGAAAAUGUGUUGAUGGUUUUGCACUACACAGCAAGUUAGAACGUGUUAGUGUUUUUGUAAACGAUUUUUCCUAAAACAGAACAUUUCAGAAGGUUUUUAAUAGUAUUUCUGUUUAUUGAUACGUUUAUAUGCAUGGAUACAAUUGCCCUGUAUAAACUGUA
ensembl:lncRNA